UACGGAGGGGACGAGCGUUGUCCGAAGUUACUGGGCGUAAAGCGCGCGUAGGCGGGUUGGCAAGUCUGCUGUGAAAGCCCGGGGCUUAACCCCGGAGGGUCGGUGGAUACUGCCAGUCUUGAAGGUGCUAGGGGGAGAUGGAAUUACCGGUGUAGCGGUGAAAUGCGUAGAUAUCGGUAGGAACACCAGUGGCGAAGGCGGUCUCCUGGGGCACUCUUGACGCUGAGGCGCGAAAGCUGGGGGAGCGAACGGG
rnacentral:rRNA from 1 species